CGGAGAGGGCAGAUGCUUGGGAGGGCACCACCGCCUUGUCGGAGAGCUUCUUGAUCUUCAGGAGUGGAUCGUUGUGGGAGAGCUUAGGGAGCUUUGGUGAUGGCUCAUCGGCGCCAGCGCCGUUGGUGGAGAUGACCAUGAGAACUCAGACUGAACUAUUGAAGCAAACCUCGUAACAACGAAUAUAAUCUAGUGAAGUUAAUUAUCAACAAACAGUCCGAAAUCAGUGAACAAAAGCAGCUAGUAGCAUCAGAAAAACAAACAUCCACAUUUCCAAAUAUUCACAACCGAUCAG
rnacentral:misc_RNA from 1 species